UACAGAGGUCUCAAGCGUUGUUCGGAUUCAUUGGGCGUAAAGGGUGCGUAGGUGGCGGGGUAAGUCAGGUGUGAAAUUUCGGAGCUCAACUCCGAAACUGCAUUUGAUACUGCCUUGCUUGAGGACUGGAGGGGAGACUGGAAUUCACGGUGUAGCAGUGAAAUGCGUAGAUAUCGUGAGGAAGACCAGUGGCGAAGGCGGGUCUCUGGACAGUUCCUGACACUGAGGCACGAAGGCCAGGGGAGCAAACGGG
rnacentral:rRNA from 1 species